rnacentral:sRNA from 1 species
CUCGCUGAAUCUCCUUCACCGGAGAACGGGGGAACCGAUACAGGCAGCGGUUGGCGGCAAGCCUCUCGCGUCGGUAUUUGAUUUCUUUCCAGGGUCUUUGGGGUGAAUUCGAGGUCAUUGCGCCAUGAGCGAAUGAACUGAGAAAGGGCGGCUCUCUUUCGUCCUAACCCGACAGCUAACCUCGUAAGCGUAUAAGAGAGG